rnacentral:rRNA from 1 species
ACAGUGUACCUGCGGAAGGAUCAUU